UACAGGGGGGGCAAGCGUUGUUCGGAAUUACUGGGCGUAAAGGGCUCGUAGGUGGCCAACUAAGUCAGACGUGAAAUCCCUCAGCUUAACUGGGGAACUGCGUCUGAUACUGGAUGGCUUGAGUUUGGGAGAGGGAUGCGGAAUUCCAGGUGUAGCGGUGAAAUGCGUAGAUAUCUGGAGGAACACCGGUGGCGAAGGCGGCUCACUGGCCCGAUACUGACGCUGAGGCACGAAAGCGUGGGGAGCAAACAGG
rnacentral:rRNA from 1 species